AGUGGCGAACGGGUGAGUAACACGUGAGUAACCUGCCCUUCACUGUGGGAUAACGAGAAGAAAUUCUUGCUAAUACCGCAUGUUCAUAUGUCCUCGCAUGGGGGUGUGUGGAAAGUUUUUUCGGUGGGGGAUGGACUCGCGGCCUAUCAGCUUGUUGGUGGGGUAGUGGCUCACCAAGGCUUUGACGGGUAGCCGGCCUGAGAGGGCGACCGGCCACACUGGGACUGAGAUACGGCCCAGACUCCUACGGGAGGCAGCAGUGGGGAAUAUUGCACAAUGGACGGAAGUCUGAUGCAGCAACGCCGCGUGCGGGAUGACGGCCUUUCGGGUUGUAAACCGCUUUCACCAGGGGCGAAUUUGACGGUACCUGGAGAAGAAGCACCGGCUAACUACGUGCCAGCAGCCGCGGUGAUACGUAGGGUGCGAGCGUUGUCCCGGAUUUAUUGGGCGUAAAGAGCUCGUAGGUGGUUUGUUGCGUCGGGAGUGAAAACAGACAGCUUAACUGUGUGCUUGCUUUCGAUACGGGCAGACUUGAGGGAUGUAGGGGAGAACGGAAUUCCUGGUGGAGCGGUGGAAUGCGCAGAUAUCAGGAGGAACACCGGUGGCGAAGGCGGUUCUCUGGACAUUUCCUGACGCUGAGGAGGGAAAGCGUGGGGAGCAAACAGGCUUAGAUACCCUGGUAGUCCACGCCGUAAACGGUGGGCACUAGGUGUGGGGGACUUCCACGUUCUCCGUGCCGUAGCUAACGCAUUAAGUGCCCCGCCUGGGGAGUACGGCCGCAAGGCUAAAACUCAAAGGAAUUGACGGGGGCCCGCACAAGCGGCGGAGCAUGCGGAUUAAUUCGAUGCAACGCGAAGAACCUUACCUGGGUUUGACAUGCACCAGACGACAGCAGAGAUGUUGUUUCCUUCGGGCUGGUGUGCAGGUGGUGCAUGGCUGUCGUCAGCUCGUGUCGUGAGAUGUUGGGUUAAGUCCCGCAACGAGCGCAACCCUCGUCCUAUGUUGCCAGCGGGUUAUGCCGGGAACUCAUGGGAGACUGCCGGGGUCAACUCGGAGGAAGGUGGGGAUGACGUCAAGUCAUCAUGCCCCUUAUGUCCAGGGCUUCACGCAUGCUACAAUGGCUGGUACAAAGUGUUGCGAUCCUGUGAGGGUGAGCGAAUCACGUAAAGCCAGUCUCAGUUCGGAUUGGGGUCUGCAACUCGACCCCAUGAAGUCGGAGUCGCUAGUAAUCGCAGAUC
rnacentral:rRNA from 1 species